GACGAACGCUGGCGGCGUGCUUAACACAUGCAAGUCGAACGGAAAGGCCCUGCUUUUGUGGGGUGCUCGAGUGGCGAACGGGUGAGUAACACGUGAGUAACCUGCCCUUGACUUUGGGAUAACUUCAGGAAACUGGGGCUAAUACCGGAUAGGAGCUCCUGCUGCAUGGUGGGGGUUGGAAAGUUUCGGCGGUUGGGGAUGGACUCGCGGCUUAUCAGCAUGUUGGUGGGGUAGUGGCUUACCAAGGCUUUGACGGGUAGCCGGCCUGAGAGGGUGACCGGACACAUUGGGACUGAGAUACGGCCCAGACUCCUACGGGAGGCAGCAGUGGGGAAUAUUGCACAAUGGGCGGAAGCCUGAUGCAGCAACGCCGCGUGCGGGAUGACGGCCUUCGGGUUGUAAACCGCUUUCGCCUGUGACGAAGCGUGAGUGACGGUAAUGGGUAAAGAAGCACCGGCUAACUACGUG
rnacentral:rRNA from 1 species